rnacentral:rRNA from 1 species
GACGAACGCUGGCGGCGUGCCUAAUACAUGCAAGUCGAGCGAAUCAAUAGGAGCUUGCUCCUGUUGGUUAGCGGCGGACGGGUGAGUAACACGUGGGCAACCUGCCUGUAAGACUGGGAUAACACCGGGAAACCGGUGCUAAUACCGGAUAAUCCUUUUUCUCUCAUGAGGGAAAGCUGAAAGUCGGUCUCGGCUGACACUUACAGAUGGGCCCGCGGCGCAUUAGCUAGUUGGUGAGGUAACGGCGCACCAAGGCGACGACGCGUAGCCGACCUGGGAGGGUGAUCGGCCACACUGGGACUGAGACACGGCCCAGACUCCUACGGGAGGCAGCAGUAGGGAAUCUUCCACAAUGGACGGAAGUCUGAUGGAGCAACGCCGCGUGAGCGAUGAAGGCCUUCGGGUCGUAAAGCUCUGUUGUUAGGGAAGAACAAGUACCGGAGUAACUGCCGGUACCUUGACGGUACCUAACCAGAAAGCCACGGCUAACUACGUGCCAGCAGCCGCAGUAACAC